CUACUUGACAGAAAUUCUAAUUAAAUGCAGAGUAAUAAUACAGUGGAAUGCAUGUUUUCCAAGGGUAUUAAUGAAUAUCCAGCUGUGAACUUCAACAUCUAUUUCCCAGAUGUUUUCAACUUCUAAGAUUCUUCUCCAAUGAGCACAUUUUGACUACAACCAGCAGGCAAGGACAACCUAAGUAGCCCCUUUUAAAGAAAACUCACUGUUAUUCAGCCAAUCUUUCUAGCCUUGCAAAGACUACUAGAGCCUUUCCUCAUCAAAAGAGAAACUAAUUCAAGAUUCAUAGACUGCAUCCCUGCAGAGAUUCAUAGACUGCAUCCCUGCCACUCAUGAGCUUGCUCUGGAUCCAUUAUUUACUCCCAAAGGAAACUCAUUUUUAUUUUUAUGGUUUUGUAUAUAUUGUUCCCUGAACUCAUAAGCAAAGAACUGAACUGUUUGGCAAAGCAUCUAAUGCUUUUUUCUGUUUAUAAAACAAUUAGUAUUCCAAAACAUCUGGUUCUUGCAUCUGAGAUGUAAAAAUCUGGAAAGUUUGCAAUGUUUUCAAGAAAAAACAAUUGAGUAGACUGAUCUGCUAGUUGUCCGUGGACUCAUGUACCAGGCCUUGUGUUUGUCCAAGCAGCAAGAAGUGGAAACCAUCUGCACAAAUUUCAAGCUGCAGAGCUCACAGACGAGAUGACAGGCAAUAUGCCAGGCAAGAAAUGUCCUAAAAGGAAUAUUUCAGCUGGAUGCAUACCUGAAAUCGCUUGUCAGUUUUCAAAGCACAUUCCUCCUGAGCACUGUAUAUUAGGUUUACAUACAAUAAUACCUAUAUUAGGUAUAUUAGGUUGUUAUAAGAUGAUAUGCUAUGUCACUAGUUGUAGCAGUUUUGGUUAGUCCACCUCUGACUUUGAACACUUGAUAGAAUACAUUAUUUUUUUUUUUAGUAAACUCCAAAUACUUCUCCUGCUCUUUGAUUAUGUAUUAAGCAGGGUGGCACUCUCUGAGCUCCACAUGCUUAUGUCACUUACUGUAAGUUCACUGUGACAAAUUUUCAUAUUUUAAGAGUAUUUUGUACUUACACUGUCUUUCUCAUCUGUCCAUUUGGCAUGUAAUAUGACCUUUUAGGAAGGGCACAUAGCCAACUUUUAGACCUAUUGUUGAAGUACUUUCCUAGCCUAGGGUAAAGUUCGGUCCAUACUAAAGGAUACGUCAGGUUUAAAUUUUCUCCUUUAUCAUGCCCACAGCUCAGUUAAACCCUGUGCCUGCUCUGAAACUAUUAUAGCUA